ACGAGUCUGACGAACGUUAUUCGGAAUUACUGGGCUUAAAGGGUGCGUAGGCGGCAGAUCAAGUCAGGUGUGAAAGACCUGAGCUCAACUGAGGUAUAGCGCUUGAAACUGAUUUGCUAGAGUAUCCCAGGGGUGUGCGGAACUGCCAGUGGAGCGGUGAAAUGUGUUGAUAUUGGCAGGAACACCGGAGGCGAAAGCGGCACACUGGGGGAUAACUGACGCUGAGGCACGAAAGCCAGGGGAGCGAACGGGAUUAGAUACCCCGGUAGUCCUGGCUGUAAACGGUGAGCACUGGGCGGAAGGAAGUUCGCUUCUUUCUGCCGCAGCGAAAGCGUUAAGUGCUCCGCCUGGGGAGUAUGAUCGCAAGGCUG
rnacentral:rRNA from 1 species